rnacentral:rRNA from 1 species
UACGGAGGGGGCUAGCGUUGUUCGGAAUUACUGGGCGUAAAGCGCACGUAGGCGGCUUUGUAAGUUAGAGGUGAAAGCCCGGGGCUCAACUCCGGAACUGCCUUUAAGACUGCAUCGCUAGAAUUGUGGAGAGGUAAGUGGAAUUCCGAGUGUAGAGGUGAAAUUCGUAGAUAUUCGGAAGAACACCAGUGGCGAAGGCGACUUACUGGCCCGAUACUGACGCUGAGGCACGAAAGCGUGGGGAGCAAACAGG